GAAAUGCGAUAAGUAGUGUGAAUUGCAGAAUUCAGUGAAUCAUCGAAUCUUUGAACGCACAUUGCGCCCCUUGGUAUUUCAUGGGGCAUGCCUGUUCGAGCGUCAUUUGUACCUUCAAGCUUUGCUUGGUGUUGGGUGUUUGUCUCGCCUCUGCGUGUAGACUCGCCUCAAAACAAUUGGCAGCCGGCGUAUUGAUUUCGGAGCGCAGUACAUCUCGCGCUUUGCACUCAUAACGACGACGUCCAAAAGUACAUUUUUACACUCUUGACCUCGGAUCAGGUAGGGAUACCCGCUGAACUUAAGC
rnacentral:misc_RNA from 1 species